CCUACGGGGGGCAGCAGUGGGGAAUAUUGGACAAUGGGGGGAACCCUGAUCCAGCCAUGCCGCGUGUGUGAAGAAGGCCCUCGGGUUGUAAAGCACUUUCAGUGAGGAAGAACGCCUGGUGGUUAAUACCCAUCAGGAAAGACAUCACUCACAGAAGAAGCACCGGCUAACUCCGUGCCAGCAGCCGCGGUAAUACGGAGGGUGCGAGCGUUAAUCGGAAUUACUGGGCGUAAAGCGCGCGUAGGUGGCUUGAUAAGCCGGUUGUGAAAGCCCCGGGCUCAACCUGGGAACGGCAUCCGGAACUGUCAAGCUAGAGUGCAGGUGAGGAAGGUAGAAUUCCCGGUGUAGCGGUGAAAUGCGUAGAGAUCGGGAGGAAUACCAGUGGCGAAGGCGGCCUUCUGGACUGACACUGACACUGAGGUGCGAAAGCGUGGGUAGCAAACAGGAUUAGAUACCCCUGUAGUC
rnacentral:rRNA from 1 species